GGGCCCAUAGCUCAGUUGGUCAGAGCAGCGGACUCAUAAUCCGUUGGUCCUAGGUUCAAGUCCUAGUGGGCCAC
rnacentral:tRNA from 1 species